CACCACACUACUAUUACAGAAGAAAUAAAAAAAGAGAAGAUUUUCUGUGUAUCCAUACUUCAAAACAAUUCCCAUCACUUAUUCAUUUCAUCUUUUCCUGAAUAUCCGAAAGCGUGAAGUUAUAUAAAACAGUAUAUUUCUCCAAUUCUUCUACCAAUUUUAUAUUAAUUUUUUAUAUGCAAAACCAAAAAAUUGUAGUAUCUGGUUAGUAAUCAGUUGCAACAUCUGCAGCGUUUCAUUUUGUUAUGUAGACAUUGACUGAUUAGUGAAUAUUGCCAAAAAUCAGUUUAAUAUAAGUAGUCACGUGUGUUGAUGACCUUAAGUCCCCAAUAAACAUCAAACAAAUUUGUACAAACAUUUUGAACGUGUAUGGCAUGUUUUGAAACAAAUCGGACGAGUUCAACAUAUUUUGUGCAAACACUUCAUGAUUGACAAUCAGUUGAAAGUCUAUGGCAGUGUUUGAUUAACAUUAGCCGUCAAAAGACCACCAGACAAUUGGAAAAAUAUAUGAAUAAUAUACUUUCUUUACUUAUAAUAUAAUAAUAUUUUAUUAUUAUUAAAGGAUAAACUACAUAUAAAAUUUAUUUUUAUAAUUAUGGAGUCUAAAAAUAUUAAACAAACAAUUACAACCGCAGCACAAGUUUUAUUGGUGUCAGUCAUAUUUUCGUAGAAAUGUUGAAUAUACACUGAAUAUAUAUUGAUAAGAUCAAAAAUUAAACUGAAGUUGGC